rnacentral:rRNA from 1 species
UACGGAAGGCAGCAGUGGGGAAUAUUGCACAAUGGGCGCAAGCCUGAUGCAGCCAUGCCGCGUGUAUGAAAAAGGCCUUCGGGUUGUAAAGUACUUUCAGUCGUGAGGAAGGUGUUAAGGUUAAUAACCUUAGCAAUUGACGUUAGCGACAGAAGAAGCACCGGCUAACUCCGUGCCAGCAGCCGCGGUAAUACGGAGGGUGCGAGCGUUAAUCGGAAUUACUGGGUGUAAAGGGCACGCAGGCGGUUAAUUAAGUUGGAUGUGAAAUCCCCGGGCUUAACCUGGGAAUGGCAUUCAAGACUGGUUAGCUAGAGUCUUGUAGAGGGGGGUAGAAUUCCAUGUGUAGCGGUGAAAUGCGUAGAGAUGUGGAGGAAUACCGGUGGCGAAGGCGGCCCCUGGACCAAAGACUGACGCUCAUGUGCGAAAGCGUGGGGAGCAAACAGGGAUUAGAUACCCGU